UCUCGCCCUCCCCGAGGGGCAGUUCCCGAGGGCGGGAGCCCAUGCCCUGCCCCCGGGGAGCUGGGCGGUGGCGGCGGCGCCGUGAGGGGCCGGGGGCCGCAGCAGCGGCCGCCCCCACCCCCGGCGCGCAAGGGAGGCUCCCGGCCGGGGGCGGCGGUGGCGGGGGGAGGACUGAGGCUGGAAAGGUGCGUGCUCGGAUUGCCGGAGGGCCGGUCUCGACCCGUGCGUACGGAAAAGAAGCUGCCAUUUGUGACGAGCGUCUUACAACAAUCCAUUGA
rnacentral:lncRNA from 1 species